rnacentral:rRNA from 1 species
UACGUAGGGUGCGAGCGUUGUUCGGAUUCACUGGGCGUAAAGGGUGCGUAGGUGGUGGGGUAAGUCGGAUGUGAAAUCUCCGAGCUCAACUCGGAAACUGCAUUGGAAACUACCCUGCUAGAGGGUCGGAGGGGGGACUGGAAUACUUGGUGUAGCAGUGAAAUGCGUAGAUAUCAAGUGGAACACCAGUGGCGAAGGCGAGUCCCUGGACGACUCCUGACACUGAGGCACGAAAGCUAGGGGAGCAAACAGG